rnacentral:rRNA from 1 species
CCUACGGGAGGCUGCAGUGGGGGAUAUUGCACAAUGGGGGGAACCCUGAUGCAGCGACGCCGCGUGUGGGAAGACGGUCCUCUGGAUUGUAAACCACUGUCCCCAGGGACGAAAAUGACGGUACCUGGGGAGGAAGCUCCGGCUAACUACGUGCCAGCAGCCGCGGUAAUACGUAGGGAGCGAGCGUUGUCCGGAAUUACUGGGUGUAAAGGGAGCGUAGGCGGGGAUGCAAGUUGGGUGUCAAAACUACCGGCUAAACUGGGAGUCGCACUCAAAACUGCAGCUCUUGAGUGAAGUAGAGGCAGGCGGAAUUCCUAGUGUAGCGGUGAAAUGCGUAGAUAUUAGGAGGAACACCAGUGGCGAAGGCAGCCUGCUGGGCUUUUACUGACGCUGAGGCUCGAAAGUGUGGGGAGCAAACAGGAUUAGAUACCCUGGUAGUC